ACAUUUCUAGCUUGCUAGAAGAUGACGAGCGGCGGACGGGUGAGUAAUGCUUGGGAAUAUGCCUUAGGGUGGGGGACAACAGUUGGAAACGACUGCUAAUACCGCAUAACGUCUACGGACCAAAGGGGGCUUCGGCUCUCGCCCUUAGAUUAGCCCAAGUGGGAUUAGCUAGUUGGUGAGGUAAUGGCUCACCAAGGCGACGAUCCCUAGCUGGUUUGAGAGGAUGAUCAGCCACACUGGAACUGAGACACGGUCCAGACUCCUACGGGAGGCAGCAGUGGGGAAUAUUGCACAAUGGGCGCAAGCCUGAUGCAGCCAUGCCGCGUGUGUGAAGAAGGCCUUAGGGUUGUAAAGCACUUUCAGUAAGGAGGAAAGGUUAGUAGUUAAUACCUGCUAGCUGUGACGUUACUUACAGAAGAAGCACCGGCUAACUCCGUGCCAGCAGCCGCGGUAAUACGGAGGGUGCGAGCGUUAAUCGAAAUUACUGGGCGUAAAGCGUACGCAGGCGGUUUGUUAAGCGAGAUGUGAAAGCCCCGGGCUCAACCUGGGAACUGCAUUUCGAACUGGCAAACUAGAGUAUGAUAGAGGGUGGUAGAAUUUCAGGGUGUAGCGGUGAAAUGCGUAGAGAUC
rnacentral:rRNA from 1 species